rnacentral:rRNA from 1 species
AAACCAACCGGGAUUGCCUUAGUAACGGCGAGUGAAGCGGCAAAAGCUCAAAUUUGAAAUCUAGUACCUUCGGUGCUCGAGUUGUAAUUUGUAGAGGGAUACUUUGGGGCCGUUCCUUGUCUAUGUUCCUUGGAACAGGACGUCAUAGAGGGUGAGAAUCCCGUGUGGCGAGGAGUGCGGUUCUAUGUAAAGUGCCUUCGAAGAGUCGAGUUGUUUGGGAAUGCAGCUCUAAGUGGGUGGUAAAUUCCAUCUAAAGCUAAAUAUUGGCGAGAGACCGAUAGCGAACAAGUACAGUGAUGGAAAGAUGAAAAGAACUUUGAAAAGAGAGUGAAAAAGUACGUGAAAUUGUUGAAAGGGAAGGGCAUUUGAUCAGACAUGGUGUUUUGCGCCCUCUGCUCCUUGUGGGUGGGGGACUCUCGCAGCUCACUGGGCCAACAUCAGUUUUGGUGGUCGGACAAAUCCGUAGGAAUGUAGCUUACCUCGGUAAGUGUUAUAGCCUGCGGGAAUACGGCCAGCCGGGACUGAGGACUGCGACUUUUGUCAAGGAUGUUGGCAUAAUGGUUAUAUGCCGC